CAGGCACCCACAUACUCACGUAGCCCACCCAUUGGUUCAGGCCGUGACGUUGGAAUUCCACUACAGUAUUGAAUUAUUUUUGGCUGUAUUUGCUGACUUUUUAGGCAACCAUUUGUUCCAGAGGAACUCACUUUAUUACUUUAUUUCCCUUUGGCAAGAUAAUAAUUAUCUGAAAUGGAAAUAACUGAAUUCCUUUGGUGAAGUGCCAAUGAAAACUAUACCCAGACUUCCAGAAGAACUGAAUACGAUGAAACCCAUUGACUUAUAGUGGACUCGUGGUAUUUGUAAGCACGCUGUGGCAAAGCACCACAAUGUUUCAGGAGGCUUGAGAGGUGCACUUCUAACAUCUCCUUGAUCAGGCAGAG
ensembl:lncRNA